rnacentral:rRNA from 1 species
GACGAACGCUGGCGGCGUGCUUAACACAUGCAAGUCGAACGGAAAGGCCCUGCUUUUGUGGGGUGCUCGAGUGGCGAACGGGUGAGUAACACGUGAGUAACCUGCCCUUGACUUUGGGAUAACUUCAGGAAACUGGGGCUAAUACCGGAUAGGAGCUCCUGCUGCAUGGUGGGGGUUGGAAAGUUUCGGCGGUUGGGGAUGGACUCGCGGCUUAUCAGCUUGUUGGUGGGGUAGUGGCUUACCAAGGCUUUGACGGAUAGCCGGCCUGAGAGGGGGACCGGCGACCAUGGGACUGAGAGACGGCCCAGACGCCUACGGGAGGCAGCAGUGGGGAGUAUUGCACAGUGGGCGGAAGCCUGAUGCAGCAACGCCGCGUGCGGGAUGACGGCCUUCGGGUUGUAAACCGCUUUCGCCUGUGACGAAGCGUGCGUGACGGUAAUGGGUAAAGAAGCGCCGGCUAACUACGUG